GGCCACGAGUGCCGGCGCGGAGAUGCCGCAGCUACCGAGAGGGGGCUGCUGGCGUGCGGUGAUAACGCGGGCCCGCAGCGCAGGGCUCUUUGCAGGGCCCCGCGGGGCUUCGGGCGGCCCGGGUUGCACUCGGGACGCCCCUUCCGGAGCCGGCGAGCUGCGGGGCGAGCUUGAUAGAUUCGGGGGCGUCUCCGUGCGCCUGGCGCGGCUGGACGCAGUGCACCGCCUGGACCCGGUCGCCUUCCAGAGGGCCUUGCAGGCUGCAAUACAGAAAUGGAGAUCAGAAGGUAGAGUAGCAGUAUGGCUGCACAUUCCCAUCCUCCAAAGUCGAUUUAUUGCCCCUGCCGCUUCCCUGGGCUUCUGCUUUCACCACGCAGAAUCGGACUCAUCCACGCUGACUCUGUGGCUGGGAGAGGGGCCCAGCAGAUUACCAGGAUAUGCUACACAUCAAGUGGGAGUUGCAGGAGCUGUAUUUGAUGAAAAUACUAGAAAAAUAUUGGUUGUACAAGAUCGAAGUAAAUUGAAAAAUAUGUGGAAGUUUCCAGGAGGCCUGUCAGAGCCUGGAGAAGAUAUUGGAGAUACAGCAGUUCGAGAAGUUUUUGAAGAGACUGGUAUAAAGUCAGAAUUCAGGUCCCUCCUGAGUAUUCGGCAACAGCACACCCAUCCUGGAGCUUUUGGGAAGUCAGAUAUGUAUAUUAUCUGCCGCUUAAAGCCAUAUUCAUUCACCAUAAAUUUUUGCCAGCGUGAAUGCUUAAGGUGUGAGUGGAUGGAUCUCAGUGACCUAGUCAAGACUGAAAAUACAACUCCGAUCACCAGCAGAGUCGCUAGGCUGCUGCUGUAUGGAUACAGAGAAGGGUUUGACAAGAUUGAUCUGACCGUGGAAGAACUUCCAGCAGUUUACACAGGCUUGUUCUAUAAAAUCUAUCACAAGGAACUGCCAGACAGUUAUAAAACUAUGACAGGAAUGGAUUAAAUUUAUAUUUACAUGGUUUUAAAAUGUUUAAGUAAAUUGUACCUGUAGAUUAAUGUGUGCCAUAUUAUAAGAACAGUAGUGGACAUUUGGGUUAACUAAAUAUCUGACUUAAAUUUUCUAAUGUCUAUGAUUUCCAUGAAGACAACUUGUUUGUACGUAUGCACAUUUUAAAAGCCUCUUUUCAGAUGAAGCAAAUGUAUGAAAAAGACUGUAGCUCUAAGUAAGCUUCACUGGAUAAAGGCAAAUGCUAUAUAAAAACUGGAAGUCUAUGCAUUUUCCAGGAAUUUUUGUUGUUGUUGUUGUUUUACUAAGGCAAUGGUUAAAUAUUUUACUGUUAGAUAAAAGGUUAUCUGACCAGUUACCUAAACUGAGCAGAUAGCUGUAUACAUUUUUCUUUUUCUUUCAUCAACAAAUUUCUAAAAUAUACCUCUUCUUUCAUGUGAAAUGAGAUCAGAUGCUGCCAUUAAGAUCAGCUCUUAGCAGACAUUGGAAGAAAAAGUAUAGCUUUCUGCCCAGGUCCUGUUUUGGGUCCAAGUUUAUACUGCCCAGUUCGUUUCAGUGCCACAUACCAACUGGAGUAUUUCCUUGACCGGUUUAAGGUCAGGAGUCGAAAAGUAAGGAGUGAAAGGAAAAGUCAUGUAAUCAUAAAGAUAGCAUGAAAGAGGUUGCUUGUACCUUUUUACACAGAGGGGAGAGAAGGAAAUUGUGCAUCUGUGCUGAACAUUCAGACAUAGAAAAGGAGGUCUUCAGAGGAAUGACAUCACAGAGGAAGUGGGCACUGGGAUACAUCAGUGAACAAAACUGAACAAAGAUCCCUGCCUUUGUGCUGGUCAAAUUCUCACUGGGGGAGACACAAAAUAAGCAUUUUGGCUUAUGAGAGAGUUUGCUCAACAUGAGUCCAAGAAUACUUUUGCUUACACCGCUUCUGAGAAUUAAAAACAGACAUGAUGUUUGUCUCUUCCCAUUGUCACCUGAGUGAGGUCCCUGCUGACAUCCCCGGCUACAGUGUCUUUCAUCAUCAGUGAUUCAUCGCAACCCAUUAAACAGUGGAACAGAUGCUAUUAAUAGCCAAGGGUCAAGACUUUUCAUUUCUUGCCUGAAAGUUGCUAUUGUUGACAGCUCAAUGCCUAUGGAUCUGGCUCAGAGGAAAAUAUGCCACUUCCUGAACCACCACCAACACCACCUCCUUUGUUUGGGGGUAGGGACACUUACUUUUUCAUCUGAAAAUUGACACAGCCCACCCAGACUAAUCUGAAAGAGGAUUGCUGCUGAAGAGACAAGGCAGCAAGCCACACAAAUUGAAUGGUAAGACUAGAGAUUGACUCGUGACCUUGGCAUGGAAUAGAUCCAGUGACGGGAGCUGGAACAACUGGAUCUUGGCUGGUGCCUUUCCUCAAAUAAAACUGAUAAAUCCUGAAUAUUUCA